CCGGUCCUCGGUAGUGGCGUCCGGGCCAGGGGCCCGUACGUUUCGAUCGAAGACCGG
rnacentral:ncRNA from 1 species